rnacentral:rRNA from 1 species
GAGGCGAUGAAGGACGUGCUAAUCUGCGAUAAGCGUCGGUAAGGUGAUAUGAACCGUUAUAACCGGCGAUUUCCGAAUGGGGAAACCCAGUGUGUUUCGAUACACUAUCAUUAACUGAAUCCAUAGGUUAAUGAGGCGAACCGGGGGAACUGAAACAUCUAAGUACCCCGAGGAAAAGAAAUCAACCGAGAUUCCCCCAGUAGCGGCGAGCGAACGGGGAGCAGCCCAGAGCCUGAAUCAGUGUGUGUGUUAGUGGAAGCGUCUGGAAAGGCGCGCGAUACAGGGUGACAGCCCCGUACACAAAAAUGCACAUGCUGUGAGCUCGAUGAGUAGGGCGGGACACGUGGUAUCCUGUCUGAAUAUGGGGGGACCAUCCUCCAAGGCUAAAUACUCCUGACUGACCGAUAGUGAACCAGUACCGUGAGGGAAAGGCGAAAAGAACCCCGGCGAGGGGAGUGAAAAAGAACCUGAAACCGUGUACGUACAAGCAGUGGGAGCACGCUUAGGCGUGUGACUGCGUACCUUUUGUAUAAUGGGUCAGCGACUUAUAUUCUGUAGCAAGGUUAACCGAAUAGGGGAGCCGAAGGGAAACCGAGUCUUAACUGGGCGUUAAGUUGCAGGGUAUAGACCCGAAACCCGGUGAUCUAGCCAUGGGCAGGUUGAAGGUUGGGUAACACUAACUGGAGGACCGAACCGACUAAUGUUGAAAAAUUAGCGGAUGACUUGUGGCUGGGGGUGAAAGGCCAAUCAAACCGGGAGAUAGCUGGUUCUCCCCGAAAGCUAUUUAGGUAGCGCCUCGUGAAUUCAUCUCCGGGGGUAGAGCACUGUUUCGGCAAGGGGGUCAUCCCGACUUACCAACCCGAUGCAAACUGCGAAUACCGGAGAAUGUUAUCACGGGAGACACACGGCGGGUGCUAACGUCCGUCGUGAAGAGGGAAACAACCCAGACCGCCAGCUAAGGUCCCAAAGUCAUGGUUAAGUGGGAAACGAUGUGGGAAGGCCCAGACAGCCAGGAUGUUGGCUUAGAAGCAGCCAUCAUUUAAAGAAAGCGUAAUAGCUCACUGGUCGAGUCGGCCUGCGCGGAAGAUGUAACGGGGCUAAACCAUGCACCGAAGCUGCGGCAGCGACGCUGAUGCGUUGUUGGGUAGGGGAGCGUUCUGUAAGCCUGCGAAGGUGUGCUGUGAGGCAUGCUGGAGGUAUCAGAAGUGCGAAUGCUGACAUAAGUAACGAUAAAGCGGGUGAAAAGCCCGCUCGCCGGAAGACCAAGGGUUCCUGUCCAACGUUAAUCGGGGCAGGGUGAGUCGACCCCUAAGGCGAGGCCGAAAGGCGUAGUCGAUGGGAAACAGGUUAAUAUUCCUGUACUUGGUGUUACUGCGAAGGGGGGACGGAGAAGGCUAUGUUGGCCGGGCGACGGUUGUCCCGGUUUAAGCGUGUAGGCUGGUUUUCCAGGCAAAUCCGGAAAAUCAAGGCUGAGGCGUGAUGACGAGGCACUACGGUGCUGAAGCAACAAAUGCCCUGCUUCCAGGAAAAGCCUCUAAGCAUCAGGUAACAUCAAAUCGUACCCCAAACCGACACAGGUGGUCAGGUAGAGAAUACCAAGGCGCUUGAGAGAACUCGGGUGAAGGAACUAGGCAAAAUGGUGCCGUAACUUCGGGAGAAGGCACGCUGAUAUGUAGGUGAAGUCCCUCGCGGAUGGAGCUGAAAUCAGUCGAAGAUACCAGCUGGCUGCAACUGUUUAUUAAAAACACAGCACUGUGCAAACACGAAAGUGGACGUAUACGGUGUGACGCCUGCCCGGUGCCGGAAGGUUAAUUGAUGGGGUUAGCGCAAGCGAAGCUCUUGAUCGAAGCCCCGGUAAACGGCGGCCGUAACUAUAACGGUCCUAAGGUAGCGAAAUUCCUUGUCGGGUAAGUUCCGACCUGCACGAAUGGCGUAAUGAUGGCCAGGCUGUCUCCACCCGAGACUCAGUGAAAUUGAACUCGCUGUGAAGAUGCAGUGUACCCGCGGCAAGACGGAAAGACCCCGUGAACCUUUACUAUAGCUUGACACUGAACAUUGAGCCUUGAUGUGUAGGAUAGGUGGGAGGCUUUGAAGUGUGGACGCCAGUCUGCAUGGAGCCGACCUUGAAAUACCACCCUUUAAUGUUUGAUGUUCUAACGUGGACCCGUAAUCCGGGUUGCGGACAGUGUCUGGUGGGUAGUUUGACUGGGGCGGUCUCCUCCUAAAGAGUAACGGAGGAGCACGAAGGUUGGCUAAUCCUGGUCGGACAUCAGGAGGUUAGUGCAAUGGCAUAAGCCAGCUUGACUGCGAGCGUGACGGCGCGAGCAGGUGCGAAAGCAGGUCAUAGUGAUCCGGUGGUUCUGAAUGGAAGGGCCAUCGCUCAACGGAUAAAAGGUACUCCGGGGAUAACAGGCUGAUACCGCCCAAGAGUUCAUAUCGACGGCGGUGUUUGGCACCUCGAUGUCGGCUCAUCACAUCCUGGGGCUGAAGUAGGUCCCAAGGGUAUGGCUGUUCGCCAUUUAAAGUGGUACGCGAGCUGGGUUUAGAACGUCGUGAGACAGUUCGGUCCCUAUCUGCCGUGGGCGCUGGAGAACUGAGGGGGGCUGCUCCUAGUACGAGAGGACCGGAGUGGACGCAUCACUGGUGUUCGGGUUGUCAUGCCAAUGGCACUGCCCGGUAGCUAAAUGCGGAAGAGAUAAGUGCUGAAAGCAUCUAAGCACGAAACUUGCCCCGAGAUGAGUUCUCCCUGACCCUUUAAGGGUCCUGAAGGAACGUUGAAGACGACGACGUUGAUAGGCCGGGUGUGUAAGCGCAGCGAUGCGUUGAGCUAACCGGUACUAAUGAACCGUGAGGCUUAACCU